rnacentral:lncRNA from 1 species
GAUUCCGAUUAUGUUUUGGGCUAUCUCAGAGUUCAGGUUUACCACUAUGGAAUCCGAGGAUUUCACGAGAUUCAUGGUCGAGGGUUUCUAUGUAGCUUGUGGUAAUUUGUGAUGGAUUAGUUGGAGCACCCCUACAGGGUUAAAUCUUUCGAAAAGUUGUGCCCACGGUUAUGUGGCAAUAUGGAAACUUUGUUUAACAUUCG